rnacentral:rRNA from 1 species
UGGGGAAUAUUGCACAAUGGGCGCAAGCCUGAUGCAGCAACGCCGCGUGAGGGAUGACGGCCUUCGGGUUGUAAACCUCUUUUAGCAGGGAAGAAGCGAAAGUGACGGUACCUGCAGAAAAAGCGCCGGCUAACUACGUGCCAGCAGCCGCGGUAAUACGUAGGGCGCAAGCGUUAUCCGGAAUUAUUGGGCGUAAAGAGCUCGUAGGCGGUUUGUCGCGUCUGCUGUGAAAUCCCGAGGCUCAACCUCGGGUCUGCAGUGGGUACGGGCAGACUAGAGUGCGGUAGGGGAGAUUGGAAUUCCUGGUGUAGCGGUGGAAUGCGCAGAUAUCAGGAGGAACACCGAUGGCGAAGGCAGAUCUCUGGGCCGUAACUGACGCUGAGGAGCGAAAGGGUGGGGAGCAAACAGGCUUAGAUACCCUGGUAGUCCACCCCGUAAACGUUGGGAACUAGUUGUGGGGUCCAUUCCACGGAUUCCGUGACGCAGCUAACGCAUUAAGUUCCCCGCCUGGGGAGUACGGCCGCAAGGCUAAAACUCAAAUGAAUUGACGGGGUCAUAGCUGUUUCCU